rnacentral:rRNA from 1 species
CGCAAUCGCCCUUCGGGGUGCACCAGGCGCGAAAACUUUACCAUGCUGGCAACAGCGAUAAGGGGACCUCGAGUGCCAGGAUACAAUCUUGGCUGUCGCGAUGCCUAAAAAGCAUUGCAUAGCAAGGGCCGGGCAAGACCGGUGCCAGCCGCCGCGGUAACACCGGCGGCUCGAGUGGUAACCGCUAUUAUUGGGUCUAAAGGGUCUGUAGCCGGCCAGAUAAGUCUCUUGGGAAAUCCAGCAGCUCAACUGUUGGGCUUUCAGGAGAUACUGUUCGGCUCGAGGCCGGGAGAGGUGAGAGGUACUUCAGGGGUAGGGGUGAAAUCUUGUAAUCCUUGAAGGACCACCAGUGGCGAAGGCGUCUCACCAGAACGGACCUGACGGCAAGGGACGAAAGCUAGGGGCACGAACCGGAUUAGAUACCCGGGUAGUCCUAGCCGUAAACGAUACUCGCUAGGUGUCAGCCACGGUGCGACCGUGGUUGGUGCCGUAGGGAAGCCGUGAAGCGAGCCACCUGGGAAGUACGGCCGCAAGGCUGAAACUUAAAGGAAUUGGCGGGGGAGCAC